CCGGAGUCAGCCACCGACGGCCUCGGCAGGCGAACCCUUGCGAUCGGACGGACGAGAUCGGCGGAUCGGAGGGAUGUGUCGGCGGAAGACGAGACACAGCCGACGAGUUGCGCAACGUGGCCUCGCAUCGCGCUCUCCGGUCACCGUAAAACGACAAAGCACAGAGGAGAGAGGUGAGUACGUGCUCAUUCCAUGUGCAUUUGGAUCGACUUUACCCAAUUAACAAUUGCAACAAUAAUAGCAUGUGUUUUAGAUUAGGGUUAGUCAAAAGCAUCCAACGAAAUCAAUUAAUAAAUCAAACAUAAUGAUUAACAAGUUAGAUUACAUUGGUUUAGUCUUGAUUUUGACAUUUGUGAUCAACAAGAACAUGGAUCUUAAUUAGUAAUUAUGUUAUGACAUAGGGAACCAGAUAGUUGGAAAAUGCUUAUAUAUAUGCUACAAAUUUGAUGUGCUUGAUCUCCAAUUGUUGGAAGGAAUCAUGUGAUGUGGUGUCAGGCAAAGUCUUCACUUCCUGGAGGGGUUGAUGGGGGGCAAAAACAACAUGAAUAUUAGUAUACUGCCACAUUUUGGCACACCAGUGUAUUGAUAUGAUCCAAAUUGACAAUUUAAAAGAAGAAUUUUCCCUAAGUCAUUUCUUGGAGGGGUUGAUGGGGGGCAAAACAAUAAGGAUAUUAGGAUAAUGCCACAGUUUGGCACACCAGCAAAUUGGUAUUAUCCAAAUUGAGUAUUAUAAAGAACAAUGUUCCCUUUGUGAAUGAUCUGAACACCCCCAUGACAAUUUCUGUAUCUCCAAAAUUUUCUUUCUAUCACGCAACUGACUUCAUGAUCCAACUUGUACAUUAUGCUCUCAUAACCAUUCUAAAUGCUGCUCGUCUCAUAUCUGUCUCAUUGACCAAUCCUUCGACAUUGUGGAUCGUACUCUGUUCUUUGAUGCAUUGAACGUGUGAUCGAGCGUUAGGUUUGAGUGGAUUGAAAAUAGUUUAGAAAGGCUACUUUGUUAUAUAUGUGAAGGGUUGGUGCAAAGCAUUGUAUGAUAAAAAAUGAGGAACCAACCACCUUAUUCCUCCUACUUCUAAAGAAAUUCCCUUGGCAGCACACGGGGCCAUCAAGAACUUGUUAAAUAUUUCCAUAACAUGUUUAUCUAUUUAUUUAUCUUCAUGAUGUGUUAAUCUUCUUGUUCGUGGCAUUUUCCUCCAUUAAUUAUUGUACCUUUUCCUUUUUUUCUCUAACCUCAUGUUUCUCAAUCAUCAUCUCAUUGAAGAAGUGUUCUAGUUAGGUACGUUAGCUGACAUGAAACCGAUUAUAGAAAACCUUAGAUCAAACUCAAGGAUCUAGUCAAUUACAUGAACAACAUGCAUUUAUGUAGUUGGCUGUUAAGAUAUGAGAUAAGAGAGAGAAAGAUGAAAGGAGAGCAAUAGGAGGAAAGAAACAUGAGAGAUUAGUCCUUAGAUACAGGUAGAGGUACGACAGAGAUAUAGAUCUAACUUUAGACUUGUUUAUCUUAAAUUGGCAGUGACAUAUGGCUUAAUAAUAGAGUUUUAAUUUGUCCACUUAACAUGAAAGUAAAGCCUUAUAUUCUCUCAACUCAAAUUUGUUUUCCAUGUAUAUAAGGAGAAACAUAGAAUAGAUAUAGAUACGUCAUGAUCAAAUAGAGAAUGUUGAUAAAGGUUCAUCCGCAGUCAAUAGACCAUAAAUAAUGUCAAGACCAGUACAUACCUAUUGCAUUGACUGUAGAACUAAACAAGUUUGAGGAAAAAUUCUAAAUCUUUAUUGGAUUAUCAAGGAGGAACAUGAAGUUAUCUGAGAGCCAAAGAAGACAAUAAUUUCCUUAGUGAAUGAGAAGAAAAAAAUAUAUAUUUUGUAUGGUAAUUUUUAGAUGCUUAGGUGUCAGUUUUUCUGAAUUUUUAUUUUGAUAUGACUAGUUUGUGUUUGCAUCCCAGUGGGGCAGAGGUCAGGUCCAAAUCAAGCAGUAAAUUAGGUGGUCCCGUCAUAUAAGACUUGAGGAAAAAGAAGUUUGCAUCCCCCAUUUUAUGUAGAGGCAUGGAGAUUAUAUGAGUACAAAUAUAGCAUUCAAUAAAGGGUUAGAAGAUAUCAUCUCUAUUAGUAAGGAACAUAGCUAACUUGGUCUGUGAGAAAAGAAAUAAACUCCCACCAAACAAAAUUCUAGUCUGAUCAUUUAGCUUUUCAAAACAUUAAAACAAAUCUAAAAAAUAUCAUAGAUAAAUCCUUUUAAUCGGGUAUAAUAGGAUUUGUGGAACUUGCAAUCCUCUUUAUUUGUUUGCCUUAUACUUCAUCAUGAUAUCAGAUCAAGUCUAUCGAUCCUCGACUUUGAUACCAUGGAGUGAGAGCAAGAAAAUAGAGCUGCACAUGAUAAACCCUGGAAGAUAAAGGUAAAAUUCAUCAAAGGACUAAAAGAGAUCAAUUGAAAAAUUAAUGUCAAACCCCAGAGGAUAAAUGUGACACUCAUUAAGGGAUUUAAGGAGAUAAACUAAAAAGUUUCAUGUUUAAACAAGCUGGGGUGAUUGUAACUUUAUCCUAGCCAAUGAGAUCUAAAUGCUUCAAACAAACAAAUAAAAUUUCUAUACUAUGAAAAAUAAAACAAAGAAAGAUAGGAGGUGCUAGGUCGAAAAUCUAUAUUAAGAACACAUUGUCAUAUAGUUACAUAUCCAUUUUUACUUGUAAUUAAGUUCAAAUGUCAUCUUUUACUAAGAAUAAAAACAAGAUAGUUACUCUGUACAACAUAGUAAUCGAAUAAGCCAGUAGUUAAAUAAUUAACAGAUUUGAUAACAAUAUAAUCAAAGUUAUUUUCACUAAUUAGUUACUGUAUAAAGUUUUGAGUCUGAGAUGAAAGCCAUACUUAUUAAAUGUUCUAGAGUUCAAGUGUCAGCAUGAGCAUGAGAUCAUUCUUUAAAUUGCAUUUCCAAGCUAAAUGCAGGAUUACAGAAGUUAUCAGAACUUCUACCAGCUUAAUUUAGCAGCUCGUUCUUCAUAUUACUAUUGCAGAUCGCCACUGGACAUGACUGCACCUUUCAAUGUAAACCAUCACAAAGUUUGCAAGCUAAACAGGGUAUAAAUUCUCUAUCAGAAAGAAUGAUUAGGUAGAACCAAUUAAUAAAGUUGAACUGAUCUGACCUUUUCAAGGAUCUUAUGAUGUUUGUUUACCUAACCUUAUCUUUAUUCUAUAAACGUACUGCCCAAAGAAAGUAGAAGGAAGAGUUGCCAGCAUGUACAUCAUAAUCUAAACUAAUCCUUAUUAGGACACAAGUUAAUGGCAUCAAGAACAUUAGUAGCUCACUGUCUGGCAUAAGAAUCCAAUGAACAUGAGUUCUUCCAGUGAUUACUUGUACAGAAGAAUUAGUCCUUUGAGAGUGAUCUGAACUGAAAGUGACAUUUCUUCUAAUUCAUGUUAAUUGGUGUACUAUUGAGCAUCUUUGGGGAAUUUACACAGGAAAGCUCUUUUCUUCAAUCAUCCUUUUUUUAUGUCCUUGGUUGUGUUCUAUCAUGGUAACCAUUGUUGUCGCUGAUACCAAUUUAUUGGGAUGAAAAUGAUAUGAUAUAAAUUCUUAACAACAAAGGCAGAUGCUGUGCACGUAAAUUCUUGGAAGUUGCAUUAUGUGACAUCAGUCUAGUAUUGGUCGAUUCUUGAUAACACUGCUCCCAGAAUGUAUGUUGUCUAUGGAUUACAUCCUGAAGGAUGAAAGGACCAUGGCCGUGCAGCAGUACGGUUAGGGCAUCACUUCCUCAUGGGGACACAUUUUUUAGUGCUCUUGAUGACAACCCACCAACCAACGCUUGUGGCAUCAACCAGGCAAUUCAAUAUGCUCGGGAGAAAUAAAUGUAGUUACUGCAAGUCCCAGUAUAUCAUGUUUGAUUGUCUGUGGCAGCAGGAGUUAACCUCUCUCUCUCUCUCUCU
rnacentral:lncRNA from 1 species